rnacentral:lncRNA from 1 species
CGCCAGGGUCGGUGUCACCAUCUGUGCUCCCAUGAGCUUCACAGCCUCCAGCAUUUCUCUCAUGGAAGGCUCGGCCACUUCCCCUUUCGGACCAGUAUCAACAUCCUCAACACCGCCAGCCGUGUUAAGACCAACCCGUUCAUCAGUACAGGAAGUUUCAGCUUCCUGCUCCUGGUUCUGGUCACAAGGAAGUGGAUGUAGCCAACAAAACAGAUCAAACCAUAGACUCGGACGGAUCAACCGCCGGCUAUGUCCGAUGGUUUGAGAACCACACAACUAACCUUAGGCGUCUGUUCUCCAGGCGCCAAGUCCUUCUCCUUCUCCUUCUCCUUCUCUCUCUGUCUGGUAUCCAUCUUGCUUCACACGGUCAGGGUUUGGUCAGAACCGAUCAAG